AACGUAGGGGACAAGCGUUAUCCGGAUUUACUGGGCGUAAAGCGCCCGUAGGCGGCCUGACAAGUUGGACGUGAAAGCUCCUGGCUUAACUGGGAGAGGCCGUUCAAAACUGUCAAGCUAGAGUCUGGAAGAGGAGAGCGGAAUUCCCGGUGUAGUGGUGGAAUGCGUAGAGAUCGGGAGGAACACCAGUGGCGAAAGCGGCUCUCUGGUCCUGACCUGACGCUGAGGCGCGAGAGCGUGGGGAGCAAACGGG
rnacentral:rRNA from 1 species